AGCCACCAAUCAUCUCAAUGGCAGGAUUAGAUCAUCAGAAUCUCUCAAGACUCAUUUGGUUGAUGAGAAGUAGAAGGAGGAAGAAGCACUUUCUGAGAAGUGGAAAGGAGGCCUCUUAUUUGGUUGGAGUUUUAAGAGGAGAGAGAGUAAAUUUUUUUUUUCAUAAGAAAUCACUUUCUACAUUUCAUGGAAAGUGAAAACCCAUAGGGGAGA
rnacentral:lncRNA from 1 species